GUGAAUCAUCGAAUCUUUGAACGCAAAUUGCACUUUCUGGUAUUCCGGAAAGUAUGCCUGUUUGAGGGUCAGUUAAGUCAAAAUCGUUGUUGUUGCUUCUUUUCGUGGUGACGCGGCGGAAUUUAGUUUUCUUACCUUCGGUUAAGUGACUUAAAAUUUUACAUGAUUUUCGAUCGUAUUUAAAUUGCUUACGUACUUUUUAUAUAUCGUGUUCUUUAUUAGGGUCGAUCAUCCUCAUAAAUCGCACCUAUAAUUUUUGAUUAAAUGAC
rnacentral:misc_RNA from 1 species